rnacentral:rRNA from 1 species
UACGUAGGGUGCGAGCGUUGUCCGGACUUAUUGGGGGUAAAGAGCUUGUAGGUGGCUCGUUGCGUCGGGUGUGAAAACCUGCGGCUUAACCGCAGGCCUGCUUCCGAUACGGGCGAGCUAGAGUUCGGCAGGGGAGACUGGAAUUCCUUGUGUAGCGGUGGAAUGCGCAGAUAUCAGGAGGAACACCGGUGGCGAAGGCGGGUCUCUGGGCCGAUACUGACACUGAGAAGCGAAAGCGUGGGGAGCGAACAGG